UGGAACUCAGGUAGGGUGAUUGCUACUGUUGCUGAAUUUGUUUCUGGAAUCCCACAGUAGAGUAUGGGAGAAAGAUGCAGAGGCUGGAGGAGAGCCAAUGGGAGUCAGGCUCGUGUUCACCGUCAGAUCCACAACAGGAGCUAUGUGAAUCACACCACCCACCAGAGGCAGUGAGAAAAAGAUGAUGUGGGGCAAGUGGACCUGUGAAGAAAGGUUCUUUGGAGCAACUCCUGUUUGCAUUUUCAGGAAAUCAGCAGUCCAGUUGAUAGUUCGGCAGCAGCAGCUCAGUCCACUUGCAAACACUUCCUGGAUACACCAGAAGUCCAGUUUGGUGGUGUCGGGAUAGUAAACUCAAAUCAGCAGCAGUGGCAGGAACAGCUAGGCCUCAGCCAAAUCAGCACGAGGGCCCAGGAGGUAUGCCAGAAGUUCUCUGCUGUGCCUCUCUCAGCAAAGCUGGGAUCCUUGAAGACUUGAGACCAACAAGCACUGUACAGCCGGCUGCAGCAGCAAGCCAACCUUCACUGUCCAGCCAGUCCUAUUUACACUCCCUCCAAAUAUCCUGAGUCCUCCAUGGGUCUUGCCACAGCACAUGUCUUGCCUCAGUGCGUGGGUCUGUCUCAGCUUACAUCACUUUGUCAAUCAGCCUGAGUCUGUGGAAGCCACAAGAAACUGCAGCAUGGCAGCAGCAGUUUUUAUUUUUUUCUUUUCUUUUUUUUAAAAAAUAUUUAUUUUAUGCCUGUGAAUACACUGUUGCUCUCUUCUGAUACCUGAAGAGGACAUUGGAUCCCACUACAAAUGGUUGUUGUGAGCCACAAUGUGGUUGUUGGGAAUUGAACUCAGAAUCUUUGGAAGAGCAGACAAUGCUCUUAACCACUAAGCCAUCUCUCCAGCCCCAGGAGCACAAGUUUUUUGGUGUAUUUCUCUCUGUGGAGUCCUGACAAAUGUCUGCUUCAGCGAAAUGUUCUUUCAUGUGUCUGCUUUAGCAAAAUGUCCUCUCACCUGUGUCUGCUUCAGGAAAACACUCCCUCACAUGUUUGCCCCAGCAAACCCCCAUGUGACACAACUGACUUUCCAAAGAACCCUUAAGUUUCCACUUCACUUGACACUCUUUUGAAACUCAUUAUCCAUUCUGCUAUCCCAACAGCAGCGAUUGUUGAAAAAAUUAACCAGCACGCAAUUGCUUUUCUCACUUAUUUAUACUCGUGAGCUCAAACACAUUUGUUGGAUGUUUGCUAAGUGUGCUGUUACCUUAAAGGAACCCCGUGCAAGGUGAGCAGACUGGACUACUGUUGCUGCUUUCUUGUGCUCACAUCCUGAGGUAAGGGAGGCAGGACUUGUCCACCUGCCUGUGGUGACUGCAGGAGCCUCCUGAGCAAGAGCUGCAUUCUUGGCAGGAGUGGGGCUUCUGGUCUGCAUUUCUUUACCUUUCGGAGACCUCAGGAGAUCUGGCGGCGGAGACGCAGCACCUGCAUGGAACAGUAUAUGGUACGAAUGCUUUGGGACUCUGCUUUGGCAAGGCCCACGGAAACCCCUUUCCACUUGAAUCACGUGAGAAUUUGCAUGUUCGGGCUCUAAAGGAAGCCUGCCCCCAGUUGGCUUUGAUUGGGAAUAAAGUGGCCAAAGGUGACUGGCUUGGCAUGGUGAAACAAGCAGGAGUUUUAGAUUGCAUAGGUAAAAACUGAGGUAGAAGGAGGAGAAGAGAAUUGCCAUGGCUCGGGGGCAGAAGGAUCAGAUGUAAGAGCUGCAAGAGAGAAGUCAUCCAGCAAUGACCUGAACCUUGUUGCUGGACCUGGCCAUUGGCAGAAAUCUUACCGGCCAUAGAGGCCAGAGCCCAUACUCACUGUGUCCAGAGACUGUAUGUUGGUAUUCCUUCUCAGAUGGGAAGGGGUCCUGUGACUUGGGAGCCAGGGAUCCACACAGUUCUCUGGUGGGACAGAAUCCUAAUGGAAGGGUAACCUGAAACACAGAAGCCCUGGAACUAAACAGUUCUGAUGUGGGGCAUUGUUCUGAUGGAAGAGUAUCCUGAAACACGGGAGACCUGGAACCACAUAGCUCUGCGAGGAAGCCUUGACAGCAGAGGUGUUACAUGGGAGAGUAUCAGGAGCCUCAUCCCUGCUCCACUUCUUAGCUUCUUCCCUUCUUUGCUUCUUUCAAUGAGAGUCACAAGCAGCAGCAAAUCUUAUAGAAGAGAUUUAUUGGUAGGAUUGAAUCCAGGGUUCGGAGGAAUAAAUCUAGGGGUGGCUGCCUUUGCUCUCAGCAGAAGGCACCAGGGAACUGAACAGUAGGGAGCUUCUAUAGCAUUUCCUAGAGUAGAGAGCGUUUCCGUGGCUGAGCUUUUCAGGGUGAGGGUUGGAGCGAUUUCAAGUUCUGAGCAUGAGGAGCUCAGGGAUUGAUGGGUUUUCCUGUUUGGGGAUUGCUGGGAUUUUUCUUCUUGUAGGGCAGAGUCUGGGCCCACUCCCACCUCAGGUUGAGAAUAGCAGUUACAGCCCUUAGAAAAUGACCACUAGAGCCAUUAGGCCAGUCUGGGAGCAGGGCCCGCUUGCUGGUGCUCCUCAGGUUGGGGCCUGGCCACAUUCCUGCCUUGGGGUCAUAUAAAGUUUACUCCCCGUUGGUGUGAAUGGCCAGCAGUGUGGGGUCAUAUUUUCCCUGUUGGAGAGCAGUGUAUUUGUCUGGCUUUCAAGUUACAGAGUCCUAAUGUCUGCUGUUCUGCUAGGUCUCUGGGUCUGCUUCCUUUGAGAUAGGAUACUCCCUCUGUCCCUGUGAUAGCUUUGCCUUACGCCUGUGUUCUACCUUGGUUUAUGCUCCAACAAGCCUGGAUACUCUUGGUUUUGUUUCAAUUUUCCAUUAUAGAAAACAAUUGUCUUUGGGGUACAGAUAAUAUGACAAAUCUAGAAAUGUAUGCUGUUUUAGCUAACCGAGAAGGCUGGCUCUAUUGUUAGGAUUUGGCAUCAGCAUCCACACAUCACACCCAACCAUGUGUGACUCUAAGGUUCUUCUGUCCUGAGUCGGUGCCCCUGAGUCUGAGACAGGUGUUGAGGGGUGGUUUUGUGCACUGUUUUUUCAGAUGUUGAUUUCUAUGCCCAGAUAUCUGGUUGCAGUCUGAACAAUGGCAUGGUCAACCAUCUCCAAUAUCUACGUUAUAUAAAAAUUGUUUUCCAUCUG
rnacentral:lncRNA from 1 species